rnacentral:rRNA from 1 species
CGCACAAGCGGCGGAGCAUGCUGAUUAAUUCGAUGCAACGCGAAGAACCUUACCAAGGCUUGACAUGGACCGGACGGCUGCAGAAAUGUGGCUUUCUUCGGACUGGUUCACAAGGUGGUGCAUGGUUGUCGUCAGCUCGUGUCGUGAGAUGUUGGGUUAAGUCCCGCAACGAGCGCAACCCUCGUUCCAUGUUGCCAGCGCGUAAUGGCGGGGACUCAUGGGAGACUGCCGGGGUCAACUCGGAGGAAGGUGGGGACGACGUCAAAUCAUCAUGCCCCUUAUGUCUUGGGCUUCAAGCAUGCUACAAUGGUCGGUACAAUGGGUUGCGAAACUGUGAGGUGGAGCGAAUCCCAAAAAGCCGGCCUCAGUUCGGAUUGGGGUCUGCAACUCGACCCCAUGAAGUCGGAGUCGCUAGUAAUCGCAGAUCAGCAACGCUGCGGUGAAUACGUUCCCGGGCCUUGUACACACCGCCCGUCAAGUCACGAAAGUCGGUAACACCCGAAGCCAGUGGCCCAUCCUCGUGA